CACUCUUGGGAUUGUAAAACUGGAGAUACAGAGCUUCGACUCUGCUGUGCACUCAGUCACAAUGGCGCCAGCAGAGACUCGCCCUUGUAAUCAAAAUAUUAUAUGUCCCGCCCACCCUAGCCCUAAACCAAUGGUAUCAUGACAAGCCCCGUAGUCAUGGCUAUGACUCAUACUUUAAAAAAACAAAAUUGCUGAUUGGACGGCAGAGAUAUGACGUGUUUUGUCAUCGUAACAAAAGUUAUGAAAUUACACCGAGUCAGCAGCUAAGAGUUAAUCUACCUGGUCUUGAAUCUCUCCUGUUUCUCCCCCUCCCUCUCUCUCUCUCUCUCAGAUGAGCACAGACUGUCACACGACUCCAUCGCUCCCGAUUCCAAGCUGAACUCGUUGUGACGCCCCCAACAGAGAAAGUGUCACCCGAGCAAGAACAGCACUCCGUGUCACCCCUCCUCUCAGACCUCACCCCUCACCCUCGUCACACCCCUCCUCUCACCCCUCGCCUCACCCCUCCUGUCACCCCUCGCCCUUCCUCUCACCCCUCGUCUCGCCCCUCCUCUCACACCUCCUCUCACGCCUCGCCUCACCCCGGGUCAGUGUGGCACAGCCUGUCUGCUCUUCUGAACAAACACUUCAGCCCUGCCGACGCAGUGAGAGUCUGGAGCAGCAACACAAGGAUUACGAGCGGAGGCUGUGCUUGUUGAGCCUGGAUGAUAUGGAGCGGCUGGCGACCCGCAUGCUUCACCCUGAGGCUGGGGAGUGCAUGGAGCUGUCCUUCCUGGACUGAGGAAUACUGCUGCUGCCCUCUCCACCUCUCCCCUCUCCACCCUCUUCUCCUCCCCCUCUCCCCUCUCUCUCCUCUCCUCUUUACUCUCUGCUCCCCCUCUCCUCUCCUUACUUUGUUUAAAAGAAUAGAAGCACACCCAGUGAGCAAGGCAUUGAGCAGCCCCACAUCCCGCUUCACAAUACCGCUAAAUAUUGACUGACUGUUCGCAUCGUGUGUGUUUGGUAAGACAACCCACAUUUUCUCCUUUCUGCUAUUUUAAAAGGAGCCCAGUUUGGUGCAGGAGGCUUGUGGGUAACAGAGUGUGUUUUUGCUGGGGACUGCAGCCCUUCCAUUACCAUUGCUCGUAGAGGGGAGAUUGUUUUACUUUCAAGCCUUUUUCUUUAAUAAAUCCGGACGUUUGGAAAUACA